rnacentral:lncRNA from 1 species
CUUCAUUCCUGCUGUUACCCAUUUAUAACCUUGGGAUGAGCAUCAGCAAAUACUAUGAUAACGAAGAGUAGGAAGAAGGUUGUGAAAACUGUGCAUUCUAAAAGACAGCGUAGACUGAAACACCCACUUUAGAUGCACUAAGGGAAAAGCAAAUCUGAGUGCUACAGGAGACAGUGAACAAGGGAAUCUCUCAUAGAGAGCAGGUGAGGAUUCUGCAGAAAAGAGAAUAUGGAACACAGUGGCAAUGGCGGUAGAUCCAUCAUGAGCUGGGAAAUACUGAAAAAAAUCUCUGAGAACUAGACCUAGUCAAUCAAAAUCCUGGUUAUAGGGGGA